rnacentral:lncRNA from 1 species
UCCCACCCAAAAUUGCAGCAGCAUGAACUUUUUAGUUUCUUUCUUGUUGUUGUUUUCUGGUGGAAUUCGACCGCCUAGUACUGCCUUUUCGCCGUCGUGUGCGGCGGAUUUGAAGAACUAGUGAAUAUAUCUAUACAAGUGACUUUUGGGGAAGAAGGUUAUUGGAUUAUUUCAAUAGCAAUAUUGUUCUUAUUUUUGUGUAUGAACAUAAGGCUGGCAUGUCUUCUUCCUCUGCUUUUGCUCCUAACAUUGCUUCUUAAAAGCUCAUUAAUGGCUGGAAAUUUAUUUGUUCAUUAGGAAUUGAAAUGGGUUUUGGUGAAUUCAUUACUUUUUUUUUAUACAUUUGGUAUGUAAGAUCAGAUUAAAUGGGUUAUGGGUCGGAUUUAAUUGAUAAUUUGUUUUUAAAGGGAUAAUUCGGGUCGAAGUUGAGAAUUUGGAAUUGAUUUGGGGAAAUCGUUAAUUUGGAGGGUACAUAUGAUGAGUUUGUAGACGGCAGGGGUAAAACUAACCUCGUUUUAACGGUAAGGGUUUAGUCAACCAAUAAAAUAAAGUUGAGGGGUAUUUUUGACCCUUCUUCCUCUGCUUUUGCUCCUAACAUUGCUUCUUAAAAGCUCAUUAAUGGCUGGAAAUUUAUUUGUUCAUUAGGAAUUGAAAUGGGUUUUGGUGAAUUCAUUACUUUUUUUUUUAUACAUUUGGUAUGUAAGAUCAGAUUAAAUGGGUUAUGGGUCGGAUUUAAUUGAUAAAUUGUUUUUAAAGGGAUAAUUCGGGUCGAAGUUGAGAAUUUGGAAUUGAUUUGGGGAAAUCGUUAAUUUGGAGGGUACAUAUGAUGAGUUUGUAGACGGCAGGGGUAAAACUAACCUCGUUUUAACGGUAAGGGUUUAGUCAACCAAUAAAACAAAGUUGAGGGGUAUUUUUGACCAUUUUCCCUU